GGUUAAGCGACUAAGCGUACACGGUGGAUGCCCUGGCAGUCAGAGGCGAUGAAGGACGUGCUAAUCUGCGAUAAGCGUCGGUAAGGUGAUAUGAACCGUUAUAACCGGCGAUUUCCGAAUGGGGAAACCCAGUGUGUUUCGACACACUAUCAUUAACUGAAUCCAUAGGUUAAUGAGGCGAACCGGGGGAACUGAAACAUCUAAGUACCCCGAGGAAAAGAAAUCAACCGAGAUUCCCCCAGUAGCGGCGAGCGAACGGGGAGCAGCCCAGAGCCUGAAUCAGUGUGUGUGUUAGUGGAAGCGUCUGGAAAGGCGCGCGAUACAGGGUGACAGCCCCGUACACAAAAAUGCACAUACUGUGAGCUCGAUGAGUAGGGCGGGACACGUGGUAUCCUGUCUGAAUAUGGGGGGACCAUCCUCCAAGGCUAAAUACUCCUGACUGACCGAUAGUGAACCAGUACCGUGAGGGAAAGGCGAAAAGAACCCCGGCGAGGGGAGUGAAAAAGAACCUGAAACCGUGUACGUACAAGCAGUGGGAGCCUCUUAAUGGGGUGACUGCGUACCUUUUGUAUAAUGGGUCAGCGACUUAUAUUCUGUAGCAAGGUUAACCGAAUAGGGGAGCCGAAGGGAAACCGAGUCUUAACUGGGCGUUAAGUUGCAGGGUAUAGACCCGAAACCCGGUGAUCUAGCCAUGGGCAGGUUGAAGGUUGGGUAACACUAACUGGAGGACCGAACCGACUAAUGUUGAAAAAUUAGCGGAUGACUUGUGGCUGGGGGUGAAAGGCCAAUCAAACCGGGAGAUAGCUGGUUCUCCCCGAAAGCUAUUUAGGUAGCGCCUCGUGAAUUCAUCUCCGGGGGUAGAGCACUGUUUCGGCAAGGGGGUCAUCCCGACUUACCAACCCGAUGCAAACUGCGAAUACCGGAGAAUGUUAUCACGGGAGACACACGGCGGGUGCUAACGUCCGUCGUGAAGAGGGAAACAACCCAGACCGCCAGCUAAGGUCCCAAAGUCAUGGUUAAGUGGGAAACGAUGUGGGAAGGCCCAGACAGCCAGGAUGUUGGCUUAGAAGCAGCCAUCAUUUAAAGAAAGCGUAAUAGCUCACUGGUCGAGUCGGCCUGCGCGGAAGAUGUAACGGGGCUAAACCAUGCACCGAAGCUGCGGCAGCGACACUAUGUGUUGUUGGGUAGGGGAGCGUUCUGUAAGCCUGCGAAGGUGUACUGUGAGGUAUGCUGGAGGUAUCAGAAGUGCGAAUGCUGACAUAAGUAACGAUAAAGCGGGUGAAAAGCCCGCUCGCCGGAAGACCAAGGGUUCCUGUCCAACGUUAAUCGGGGCAGGGUGAGUCGACCCCUAAGGCGAGGCCGAAAGGCGUAGUCGAUGGGAAACAGGUUAAUAUUCCUGUACUUGGUGUUACUGCGAAGGGGGGACGGAGAAGGCUAUGUUGGCCGGGCGACGGUUGUCCCGGUUUAAGCGUGUAGGCUGGUUUUCCAGGCAAAUCCGGAAAAUCAAGGCUGAGGCGUGAUGACGAGGCACUACGGUGCUGAAGCAACAAAUGCCCUGCUUCCAGGAAAAGCCUCUAAGCAUCAGGUAACAUCAAAUCGUACCCCAAACCGACACAGGUGGUCAGGUAGAGAAUACCAAGGCGCUUGAGAGAACUCGGGUGAAGGAACUAGGCAAAAUGGUGCCGUAACUUCGGGAGAAGGCACGCUGAUAUGUAGGUGAAGUCCCUUGCGGAUGGAGCUGAAAUCAGUCGAAGAUACCAGCUGGCUGCAACUGUUUAUUAAAAACACAGCACUGUGCAAACACGAAAGUGGACGUAUACGGUGUGACGCCUGCCCGGUGCCGGAAGGUUAAUUGAUGGGGUUAGCGGUAACGCGAAGCUCUUGAUCGAAGCCCCGGUAAACGGCGGCCGUAACUAUAACGGUCCUAAGGUAGCGAAAUUCCUUGUCGGGUAAGUUCCGACCUGCACGAAUGGCGUAAUGAUGGCCAGGCUGUCUCCACCCGAGACUCAGUGAAAUUGAACUCGCUGUGAAGAUGCAGUGUACCCGCGGCAAGACGGAAAGACCCCGUGAACCUUUACUAUAGCUUGACACUGAACAUUGAGCCUUGAUGUGUAGGAUAGGUGGGAGGCUUUGAAGUGUGGACGCCAGUCUGCAUGGAGCCGGCCUUGAAAUACCACCCUUUAAUGUUUGAUGUUCUAACGUUGGCCCCUUACCGGGGUUGCGGACAGUGUCUGGUGGGUAGUUUGACUGGGGCGGUCUCCUCCUAAAGAGUAACGGAGGAGCACGAAGGUUGGCUAAUCCUGGUCGGACAUCAGGAGGUUAGUGCAAUGGCAUAAGCCAGCUUGACUGCGAGCGUGACGGCGCGAGCAGGUGCGAAAGCAGGUCAUAGUGAUCCGGUGGUUCUGAAUGGAAGGGCCAUCGCUCAACGGAUAAAAGGUACUCCGGGGAUAACAGGCUGAUACCGCCCAAGAGUUCAUAUCGACGGCGGUGUUUGGCACCUCGAUGUCGGCUCAUCACAUCCUGGGGCUGAAGUAGGUCCCAAGGGUAUGGCUGUUCGCCAUUUAAAGUGGUACGCGAGCUGGGUUUAGAACGUCGUGAGACAGUUCGGUCCCUAUCUGCCGUGGGCGCUGGAGAACUGAGGGGGGCUGCUCCUAGUACGAGAGGACCGGAGUGGACGCAUCACUGGUGUUCGGGUUGUCAUGCCAAUGGCACUGCCCGGUAGCUAAAUGCGGAAGAGAUAAGUGCUGAAAGCAUCUAAGCACGAAACUUGCCCCGAGAUGAGUUCUCCCUGACUCCUUGAGAGUCCUGAAGGAACGUUGAAGACGACGACGUUGAUAGGCCGGGUGUGUAAGCGCAGCGAUGCGUUGAGCUAACCGGUACUAAUGAACCGUGAGGCUUAACCUU
rnacentral:rRNA from 1 species